rnacentral:rRNA from 1 species
CCUGGAUCCAGCAGCCGCCGGUAAUACGGCCUGAGGCUGCGCGUUAUCGGAUUACUGGGCGUAAAGCGCACGCAGGCGGUUUGUUAAGUCAGAUGUGAAAUCCCCGGGCUCAACCUGGGAACUGCAUCUGAUACUGGCAAGCUUGAGUCUCGUAGAGGGGGGUAGAAUUCCAGGUGUAGCGGUGAAAUGCGUAGAGAUCUGGAGGAAUACCGGUGGCGAAGGCGGCCCCCUGGACGAAGACUGACGCUCAGGUGCGAAAGCGUGGGGAGCAAACAGGAUUAGAUACCCUGGUAGUCCACGCCGUAAACGAUGUCGACUUGGAGGUUGUGCCCUUGAGGCGUGGCUUCCGGAGCUAACGCGUUAAGUCGACCGCCUGGGGAGCAUGGCCGUUUUAGU